CUCACAACUGUUAUGAGGCCCGGAAACCAUAACAAAACCAUACAUCCAGCCUCAUAAGUGUGGGGUUCAAAUGAGCACAGGCAUGCUGAAACACUGCUGGCAAAAAUGCACCAUCUGCCUGAACAUGGAAGGGAAUUGCCUGCAGUUUUUUUCCUCAUUUCUAGCACAAACACAAUGAAACUCUUCAAAUUGUU